UUUGAUCAUGGCUCAGGACGAACGCUGGCGGCGUGCCUAAUACAUGCAAGUCGAACGAACUCUGGUAUUGAUUGGUGCUUGCAUCAUGAUUUACAUUUGAGUGAGUGGCGAACUGGUGAGUAACACGUGGGAAACCUGCCCAGAAGCGGGGGAUAACACCUGGAAACAGAUGCUAAUACCGCAUAACAACUUGGACCGCAUGGUCCGAGCUUGAAAGAUGGCUUCGGCUAUCACUUUUGGAUGGUCCCGCGGCGUAUUAGCUAGAUGGUGGGGUAACGGCUCACCAUGGCAAUGAUACGUAGCCGACCUGAGAGGGUAAUCGGCCACAUUGGGACUGAGACACGGCCCAAACUCCUACGGGAGGCAGCAGUAGGGAAUCUUCCACAAUGGACGAAAGUCUGAUGGAGCAACGCCGCGUGAGUGAAGAAGGGUUUCGGCUCGUAAAACUCUGUUGUUAAAGAAGAACAUAUCUGAGAGUAACUGUUCAGGUAUUGACGGUAUUUAACCAGAAAGCCACGGCUAACUACGUGCCAGCAGCCGCGGUAAUACGUAGGUGGCAAGCGUUGUCCGGAUUUAUUGGGCGUAAAGCGAGCGCAGGCGGUUUUUUAAGUCUGAUGUGAAAGCCUUCGGCUCAACCGAAGAAGUGCAUCGGAAACUGGGAAACUUGAGUGCAGAAGAGGACAGUGGAACUCCAUGUGUAGCGGUGAAAUGCGUAGAUAUAUGGAAGAACACCAGUGGCGAAGGCGGCUGUCUGGUCUGUAACUGACGCUGAGGCUCGAAAGUAUGGGUAGCAAACAGGAUUAGAUACCCUGGUAGUCCAUACCGUAAACGAUGAAUGCUAAGUGUUGGAGGGUUUCCGCCCUUCAGUGCUGCAGCUAACGCAUUAAGCAUUCCGCCUGGGGAGUACGGCCGCAAGGCUGAAACUCAAAGGAAUUGACGGGGGCCCGCACAAGCGGUGGAGCAUGUGGUUUAAUUCGAAGCUACGCGAAGAACCUUACCAGGUCUUGACAUACUAUGCAAAUCUAAGAGAUUAGACGUUCCCUUCGGGGACAUGGAUACAGGUGGUGCAUGGUUGUCGUCAGCUCGUGUCGUGAGAUGUUGGGUUAAGUCCCGCAACGAGCGCAACCCUUAUUAUCAGUUGCCAGCAUUAAGUUGGGCACUCUGGUGAGACUGCCGGUGACAAACCGGAGGAAGGUGGGGAUGACGUCAAAUCAUCAUGCCCCUUAUGACCUGGGCUACACACGUGCUACAAUGGAUGGUACAACGAGUUGCGAACUCGCGAGAGUAAGCUAAUCUCUUAAAGCCAUUCUCAGUUCGGAUUGUAGGCUGCAACUCGCCUACAUGAAGUCGGAAUCGCUAGUAAUCGCGGAUCAGCAUGCCGCGGUGAAUACGUUCCCGGGCCUUGUACACACCGCCCGUCACACCAUGAGAGUUUGUAACACCCAAAGUCGGUGGGGUAACCUUUUAGGAACCAGCCGCCUAAGGUGGGACAGAUGAUUAGGGUGAAGUCGUAACAAGGUAGCCGUAGGAGAACCUGCGGUUGGAUCA
rnacentral:rRNA from 1 species